CAACAGCACUAGCGGUUCUCCCGAUGUUUGAUUCGAGCGCACCCGCGUUUUCCCAGCGUACAUUUAAUUAGUUCGUACUUUUUUCUUUUUCAUUUUGCGUUUAGCUUUAAUUACAAAUAAUAAGUCUCGUGGAACCCGGAAGUCCUCGGAAGUAUUAUUCUGUUGCGGUCGUGAAUAUAAAUAAAACGGUGUGUGUAUAUACUCACCGCCACCGAUUGACCUAUAUUAACUUAUAGUAUUUAGUCUAAUGGUAAAUACAGUUAUGUGUAUCGAGUGGGGAAUAAAAAAAAAAAACCAAAACGUCUAUUGUACGUGAAUUUGUUCAACAUGACAAUAUAAACUCUAUUUGAACAGCAAUAGUACGAGAAAUUAGAUAUUUCGUUGAGCUGGACGCGAUUAAAUCGCGACAUUGUUCCGCGGAAGUCACCGCACAUAAAUACAGUUUUUUUCUCUCUCUCUAUCUCUCU